GGAAGCAGCUGUCCUGACGGAUCGUUCAAAAUGCUACAAACCCCUUGAGUCUCAGCUGUCCCUGCAAUACAGAGGAUACAAGGUAAAAUCACUCAUCUGAGCUGUUGUAUUUUCUACUGCUUUGGAAAUUUCCACAAAAAAAGUAAACUAGAAGAGUCUUCAAACUUUUAUAACAGCUUUAGUUUAGUAUGCCUGUGGGGCUCAUGUCUGUGCGAAACAACAGACUGACGAACAGAGUUAUGCUCAGAACUUAAAGGUCUGUCUCCCCUUCACUUCUUGCACUCGCUCAUUGUUGUUUUAACAAAGAUCUAUUCUGUUUAAACAAUACAAGCGCUCAUAAUGAACUGCACCUGUCUGCCUUAUCUGUCCUCCUUUUCUUCAGAGAGUUCUCCAAGUUAAAGAGAAAAGUGAAAGUGUGAGAAGGGGAAAUAUAAAGUAGCUUCAACUUGAGGUUUCCGCACGCUGAAGGCCGCACUGACCUUGAGAUGAGGCGUGGUUUUCAAAUGUUUGUAUCGUUGUUGAUUCAUAAGAAACUGAACAAUCUGUGUGACAAUUUUCCAUCUUCAAAACAUGUUUUUUUUUUUUUUUGUGACUUUUGAACAUGACCUUCAGUUUGUUCUGAGUAGUGCAACAAAUUUUCUCUGACCUCUUCAGCGUUUAAUACUCUUAAUACAGAGUAAAGUAUUAAACUAAGAGGUAACAUGGCCCCUCAAGUCAGAAAAGUGGUGUGGACUGACAGAUUGAGUAUGGCUUUCUGUGAGUCCUAAACUAGAAAAAUUGGCCACUAGGUUCUGCUUAAUGUGCUCGUACAGACUUUUAAGGACAGUUUGAAGAGUUUUGUCCAAAACUUGGAGAAAGAAGAAAAUAUGAUGUAGUAUCAGGGCCAUCUAGAAUAAAAAAUAGAUUUAACUCAAUAUUUAAUGGGUGUAGAGUUGUAAAUACCUGAAUACCAAAGUCUUUUAGGAAAACAGGACCAUGUUGUUGUGCUUUAAGGACUCUGAAUCCACAGCCACCGUUUGCUCUUGGAUCCAUUUCCUCAGUUAAGUGCUAGCAGCUGUCCGCCCCUCUUAUAUCACCCCGCUUAGUUCACGUAUUGAUAAACAAUUUUAUGUCUUUUGACUUUUCUCAUGAGUCAGAUUAAAACUUCAUUCUCCCAAAUGUUCACCUUUAAACACAUCCAGUCAUGACUAAAACAUUUUCUGAGUUUGUUCAAGUAAAUUUAUGAACAUUUUCCAAUAAAUCUAAGUGUUUUUGUAAAAUUACAAAUUUUUCUUCAAUAACUUAUUCUUGUAAAACUUAAUUGUAAUGUUAUGACUUUAUUUUGUACACUCAGGGAUUAUUUUUGUAGCUUUGUUGGUUAAUCCUGUUGUAUUUAUGACUUUGAUCAUGAAUUUACGACUUUGUUAUCACAGAAUUAUGGCUAAAUCCUUUUAAAUUUAUGUGAUUUUAUUCAUGCAUUCAAGACCUAUUCUCCAACAACUCAAUUUUCAUAAAAAUCUGUAUUUUUGAGAUUAUGACUUCAUUCUGGUAAUUUUCUUUUCUGGUAAAUUUACAAGUUCGUCUCUCAGGACUUCAUGAUUUCUCUUCUCAGAAUUUUAUGACUUAAUUUUCAUAAAUUCACCAACUAUUUUCAUAAUGUUUUUCAAUUUUCCCUCAAAAGUUAUAUUUUGUAAAAUUACAGCCUUAUUCUCAUCAUAUCAGAGUUUUUUGCUCCUAAAUUUUGACUACAUUUUUUGUAAAUUUGUGACUUUAUUGUCAAUCCAUGAAUGUUAAUUUAUGAUUUUCUUCUUUUAUUCAUUUAUCCCUUCUAAGUAACUCCUCAGUCCUCUACUGUUUGGAGUUUAUUCUCAUGAUAUUAAGACUUUAUUGUAGAAAUCUAAUUUUGUCAUCCUUGAUGUGGCUCUAAUCCUCACUUGUAGGAUAUUAGGAGUACAUGAGAAGAAUAAAGCCGGUUGCAUUUGCAUAUUAAUCACAUAAAGGUUGAACACCUGGGUACUUUCAAGUUAAUUUGGUUUUAGAUUUGUGGUCACAAGCGUUUUAAAAUAAAUGCUGAUUUAAAGAGAAAUUCCUGCUGUAGUGUGGCCCAUCAAAGUGUGACCACAGGUGAAGAUAUGGAGCUGCUGCACCUUUUACAGCAUUGUAAUGAGCUGCAGCCAUUGUGUCUCUGAAUGUAUAAUUAUUAUGUGUGAAUAAUGAGACUGAACUGUGUGGAUACUUCCCACUGUGGGUCCCUGUGCAGCCGAGCUUUCACAUCUGGCCAGAGCUUUGAAGUAGCAGGUGUGCCAUCAACAUGCACCACACACACACACACACACACACACAGAAAAAAAACAACCAGACACUGCCACCAUAUUUUUGAAUAAGAGCAAGACGCAGCUCUUUGUUGUAAGUACAAAGAAUAUACACAUUGUCGUUUUGGUGUUCGGGGACUGUUUUUGAUACAGAAUAAUCAGAUUCACUCAUCUUAGGUUACCAAGGCUUUAGAGCACAAAAGAAAAAAACAGGUUUAAACCCACACGGUUGUCAAGCACUAGUCAUCGGGGAUGAGCGUCAACUUGACUGGAGUCUCUCUACUCUUGUGUGGAAGACCUGAUCUGACACAGCUCCCCCUCCCAGUAGCGAAGUAGGAUUGUAUUUCACAUGAAAAAGAUGAGAUUCACACACAUGCACAAACACCCACACACAUGCAAAAAUGUCUUGAAUUGAUGUUCAGGUGAGGCAAAUUCACAGUAGAAUUACAGAAAAGUCAUUCAGAUGUCACCGCUCAACACAGGUUCACGUAUAUCAACGUACUUGAGUUACUUUUGGGGUUGCAAAGAGCCUGAAAGUUUGACGAAACAACUCUGCCAACCAGAAAUAUUUUGUUCUUUCUCAGGGACGGCCUAAUGUAAUUCCCGAUGAGUCUGAAAGCGGAUAUUUACGAUUUUUCUGACAGCACGUGUUGGGUUUCAAUCCCCUGUUUUUCUUGCUUAGAAAGGAAACAGGAAAGAAAAAUAACACUGGAGAAAAAUAUCUUAAUGUACCAUUUACAUCCACCAUAAGAUUGACUUUUAUAGGCUGUGUUUGUAUGAUCUCACUUUUGUUUGAAGGAACUAGAGUUAGUAUGUUUCCCUGCACACUUAAAUCAAGGUAUAAUUAAUGCUUAAUAUGGCAAUUCACCUGGACUUCUUAGCAAACUAAUUUGACAUUGUUUACCCUCAGACUCUGUGAUUAAGCUCAUUUCUGACUGUAUCCUGGAGAUAAAAUUUAUGCCGUAAUGCAGCACGUAAAAGCUGUAUUAGAAUAACUUUCUGUAGUCAAACAGAUGUAAAGGCAACGUGAUGUUUCCAGUGGUUUUAUUGGUUCCCAUAGGGUGACCAUGCAUCCUCUUUUACCCUUUUGUCCUGUUUUUGGGGGGCUGUCCGGCCUUGUCCAGCCUUGUCCGGGGAAGUUUAUAAAAUCCUUCAAAUGUCCACAGUUUUGUAUGAAAGUUUCGAGUUUGUGUCACAUGGACUUACUGAGUUAGAAGCGCGUAAAAGACACUCGAUCUGACCCAAAAACUCUCAAAUUUAACUUUGUGCGACUUCGUGAUUCCACCCCAGCGUAGUCGUGUCCUCUUUUUGGGAAGUCAGAAUAUGGUCACCCUAGUUCCCACAAAUACGCCAUAUUGGCUCUUGAUGUUAGCUUGUGGCUUUUGACGCCAAAACCCUGAAUUUAGUGGGCCCUGAGGCUAAAGUGGAUCCGAAUAUUUGGUGUCUAUGUUCCUGUUGACAGAAAUAAUAUUCCCAUUCUGAUACCACGAUUAUACAAAGUCUUCGUCGUCCAUAACUUCUCAAGAUGACUCCAUUGCUUCAUGAGUUUUGUUUGAAAGCAGUGUAAGAUCCGCCUUUAAGUCAUGUGACAAACAAUGACUUGAAUUGGCAGUUAUAUAAGGUUAUGAGUUCGGCUGGAUCCCAAAAACACACACGGAGAAAACACCCAGAAACCGCUAUACUGGUUUAAAAAUAACCACAGUUAAAUGAGUUUUCUGGUUUGUGUGUGUGUGAGUGUGUGUGUGAGGGCAGGAUGAGGCUGCAGCGACAGAGUAAUUAAAAGAAACAAGUCUUUGAUCUUAAUGAGGUUUCUGUACUCUCCUCAGUGAGAAAGGGGGUGUCUAUGUAUGUGGGAGAGUGUACUUUCUUAAAAAAAAUGAACGCCCCCCCAAAAUAAACUCUAUCUGAAAUCAAAAGUAAACUCCAAUUCUAUACCAAACAGUGGGGGGGAGUUUUAUCUCCGCCCGCUCUGGUGGCUUUCUGCUUUUUGGUCACACUGCAUGUCUAUUCUUUGAAAUAACAGAUUUAGGUCAGUGAGGAGAAAAAGCCAUUUCCUCCAUCAGUUUUUCCUCUCAACUUUCUGACUAAUUGACUAGAAGAUCAUUUGAAUUCUGAACGGUGGCAGCAGGAGUCCACUCCAUUCAGUGGUGAGAUUGAUGUAUCUAAACAACACCAACAAACAUGGCCCGCAAUCACUCCAGAGGGGGUACUCCACUGAGAACAUCAUUACCGACUCUGUGUUGUCUGCUAAAUCAAAGUAGCUCCCCCGGCUUUGAUAAAAGAGACGGGUGCCGACCGGGGUGGCAGUUUGCUGCCGGGUUAGCCUGAUCAGAAUUCACAACAUAGAAACCAGAGGUGGCCAUGUUAUCUUGCCCGGCUGAAAUUAAUGUAAACAAACCGAGACGUAGAAUUAAACAUAAGGAAAGGUUUGAUAUGGUCUUCUUGGAUGUUACAGAUCUGCUGGUUUGGAGCAAGAUGACAAACAAAGCCAUAUCAAACAGAAUAUAAUACAGCUGAAAAUAAACUGCACGAUAUUAUCAGACGGAAUAAAAUAUAAGUGUAGUGUAACCCAGUAGUUCAGCAUUAUUUAUUAAUAAGGAGAAAAAGUUAGUUACAACGAGCUAAUCAAUAAUCAAUGUCACACAUACAGUAGGGGGGCAAAACCACUGGCUUUGUCCAAAUGAAGGACCUAGCCUACAUGACGUCAAACCUAUUUAUGGACCUCAUUUUUGGUAUUACUGCUGUGGUCUAGCAAAGGUUGACUGAGUUUUGAUUCACUUCGAUUUUAUCUGCUCUACAGAUGUUUGUGGUUGUUGCUUAGCAAUCCCAACCCCUUUAAUAUAGCCUGAUAAACUAGCAGUUUAACUCUAAAUGGGACCAUAAUUCAUAAAACUGAUGAAAUGCUGUUCUUAUUUGAGUUGUUAAAACUAACCUACUAUACAAAUGUCACCAAAGUAACAGGAAUUGGACAAAGUAAUCUCUAAAAUGGUCAAAUAGUGUAUGGCACCAUUUAAUAGAAGCAAGGGGGGCAUCUUUAUGGGUCUAAUCUGGAAGUACCAAACACUGCAGUUCCUCAAGUGGCCACUGGAGGCUGAGUCAGAAAGUGAGUCAAGCCCAUUUAGCCUCAUAUUUAAAUGACAAACUUUGCAGCAGAAUAUAUAAAGUUGAGGAUUAUCACAGGAAUGUUUGCUGCACAAUCACCUCAGCAAUUUUAAUCACAUAUUCUAACCUCUCUGCUGUGUUUGUGUCUCCAUGCAAUUACCUAAUAAGAUAGAAGUGCUUGUUUACUUUGUCUGGAAAAAUGUGCUUUUAUACUUGAAAAUGGUGAAGGAAAAAAUCAACAAACUAUUUUGGGCUGAAAAAUGAAGUCAGUUCCUCAAAUGGCCACUUGGGGCUUAUAUGAGGUCCCUUUGACUUGAAAAACUUUGCCAAACCUUUUUGAGUAAAAACAUAAAAACUUGAACACAUGCUUAGAUAAUAGAGAGAGAAAUUUUAAGGUGCAAAAAACACAAUCACAAAGGUUUGUUGUACUAAUUGGCUGUUGAAGAGAUCGCAGAGUGAGUUACUGUGGUUUUAGCAAAUCUAGACUUGAGGUUUUAUUUACUCUUUUAAAGCAAUUAACUUUUGAUCUUUGCUUUUGUCCUAAUUAGUUGCGACCUGAUGUUAAACAAAAGAAAAACAAACCAAAAAAGUAAGGUCAUGACACGCUGCAGUCACUAAACACCUGAACAGCUUUACAUUUAAGGGGACUGAUGUGCACAGAGGCAGUUUAAUAUUCAGAGGAGUACUCAGACACACAUAAGCUAUCUCUCACAAACUUGUUAAACACACAGAACACACCGAAACCCUCCCUGGGAUUCAGACAUGCCACUGUGUAAAUGAACAAAUGUUGCUACCUCUCUGAAAUCAUGACCUUUAAUAAGCGCAGUCUGUUUUCUGUUUGCCGGACACAUGGGAUAGGUGUCUUAAUCAAACUGGAGCAUUUGGUCCUGGCUGCUUUUGACAGCUUCAGACAGUUUCUCAUUACUGAGCUGGCAUUUAGCAUUUAGUCAUUUUAACAUUCAGUUCCACUCCUGUCUGCUGAGUCAGAGCACAGCCUGUACUCCUCUACCCCAAAACACUAAACAAACUCCACAAUGGGGCAUUAACAAGGUUUGAAAACACUUAAUGAAGAAUAAAAUCAAACAAAAGGACUGAUUAGGAGUGUUUCAGAGAAGUACACAUUGGUCAAAAGAGAGUGAUGAAGCUUUUUCUGGUGAUUUGUUCAUCUUUUGGUUCAUUUGUAUAGUUUAUUUACUCUUGGUGGCUUGUGGCUGUGAGUUUAGUAUUCGUAUGUGUACACAUAUAUUUUGUUUCUGUUACUGCGGGGAAAAAAUAUUAUUACAUUCCCCCCUAACUCUGCAAUCCCAAUGCAAACAUCAUCAACAAGUCAGACUAUUCAGCUGUUCGGUUCUUUCAGAGCAGAGAAAACAAACCCGGCCAAACAAAAAGUUGGCCACAGUUUAAGUUCUGUAAAUUUCUGGGGCCGUCCGAUGCAAAUCACCUCCUAACACGUCUUUGUGCCCCCAUCAUUGUAAUUCUGUUUCAUGAACAAUAGCUGGUGCAAAACGGAUGAGAAGCUGAUUACAACCAUUCAGCGCUCCCCAGAUCUCCACCUCUUUGAUUUGAAAGGCUAUAGCUGCAACAAUCAUCGAGGUCAACGUUAAAGAACGGCGCAUGUAUGAUUAAAUUUUUUCUGUUCAUUUCUCGCUUUGUCCUCCAGCUUAGCAUCAUGUUCCAGCGCUCAAAACAUCUCAUAGUUUGAGGUCUUUCUGUCCCCAAAGUUGUUUUAUUCUAAAAGAGACAGGAACAAGAGGUCUCUAUUCAUUUAAUUGUGGAAAUACUUAAUUUUAAUACAGUCAAUUUGUUUGUGUAUCUGAGAGCUAUGUGGUGACUCUGUAAGGUCAGUUUACACAACACAGCCGACAAAGAAUUAGUCUACUAAUGACAGGUAUUGGUAUAAUUAAGGGCAUAAAAACCUACCAGACACCCAAACUAUACCAAACAACAGCUUAACACUCAGAAUUUAAAAUUUUGGAAUGCAUGAUGAUUAUGAGUGAAUAAAAUACUGGAUAUACAUCACAAAGUCAUCUGCAAAGAGUGUCAAAGCUUUCAUAAUGUCAAAUAAUGGCUUUUAAAGGCUCACUUUAAGCAUUUUAGACAUAGGCAUCUUGUAAUUUGGCACCCAAAGUUUUAAUGUUCAGGCAGUGGAGUAGAGAAGAAGUGGCUCCGACAUAAAUACCAGAUCAUUAAAUUAAUAAUGCAUCAUGCAGUGUAUCACUAAACCCCCAAUUGGAACAAAAAUCUUUAAAUAAAUAUUUAGAAAAAGUAUAAUUUUUUUCAUAGACAGCGAAGUUGCCCCCUGCUGGGAAUGAAAAGGAAUGCAGGUUUAAGACACUUGGCUUUACUUUUUAGACUAACUGGGGGGUCAUGUAAACUUUUUUUCACGCUCCCAUCCAAUUAAAAACACCUUUUUUCCUUUCUUGUGCAUAGCUAUACUUCAGUUAUCUUACAGCCUAGCAACACUUAAAUGUGGUAGCAAAAAGGCCUAAAAGGCGUGCACACAAAACCACUCCCAUGUCUGUCCUUCAGGAGAUGCAAUUUCUUCCUUUGCUAUUCAGCCAACCACAUCAGAUUACUUAUUAAAGGUAGAGAAGUAAGCGAAAAACAUGCCAUAUCACUUGAAAAAAUGCUGUUUUGACCAUGACUUCAAGAAUAACCACCUCCAGUUUAUGUCAAAAUUCUGGAUCAUAUGUUUAGUGCACUGGUGCUGGUUCUUCUGGGGCAUUCGCCAUGUUUGAUAUGGUGUUUUUCUGCCUCUGCAUCUGUCAGCACAAGUCUGCACCCGUCUCUCUUAGGAAACAAACAGGCAACCUAUCAGCUUCAUAUGAAUUUGCAUUAAUAAGUUAAUUAACAGAAGCAUUCAGUACUUCUGUGAAAAUAGGAAACUGCAUUAAAGUGUGAGGAAUACAGAAUAUACAGAGUUCUGAGAUUUUUCAUUUCCUGGUUAAAUUGGGUUGAAUAAGUUUAAAUGAAAUGAAAUCAAGCAGAAGUUCAGAGCAUCAAGUCAGUGUUUCUUUUUUUUUCUGUAAAAGCAGAAUAUUAUAAAAGUGUUGUUUCCAAACUCAAGAAGAACAUUAAAUCCAACUUCUCUUUUUCUAAUACUUCUCAAAAGUAUCACUCAGUGGUCUCCAAACAUGUAUCGCUGAGAUGGAUUUUCCUCCCUGCUCCUCUCUGCAGCAGCUAAUUCCUCCUCUGGCUGACCAGCUGGGAUGAAACCCUUCACAGAAAUAACCUGUCCGACUCACUGCUCUGAUCUGUCUCUGCUUCUUAACCUCAUGGUGACUCGCUGAGGGAACACAUAUCUCUUGUUGCCCUGUUGUUGGUAACCCCUGCCUUCUUCAGGUGCAAUAAUUUGGAAAAUCCCACAGCUCUGAGGCUGUCUACUUGCUAGGUAAUGGGACUUUAAAAUGACUACCACAUGCUACCUGUGCAACAUGCCCCACUGCUCCACAACACAGUAUCAGGAGAUUAUCCCCCGGCGUACAGUGAAUCCUUAUCUUAAGGUUUCAGUUGGGAUUAUUUCGCUUGGUGUUUUGGAGGCUCCAGUAGGAGAGAAGACCUGGUGAUGCAAUGAAACACAACCCCCCAUAAUUGGCUACAACCCCCAAGGCAGAUAUUUUAAGAGCUUUUAUGAUUUGCAGUAUAAUCACUGUGAAGAAAACCAGCUUUUGGUUGUAGAAUUAAGAAAUCUGUGAAUAUUUGUCCCUAUCUUUGUCAUUUUUUUAAAGUUACAAAUCACAAAACAGUUCAGAUAAUUACUAUCCUGCACUGCUGCUUAAACUUAAUUUCUUAAUAACUGAAUGAGCACAGAAUGAGCACUGAAUGAGAAUGGUCUGGUUAGCUCAUACCUAUACUUAGGGCUAGACGAUAUGGGAAAAGGUUUAUCAUGAUAUAUUUUUUUCAUAUCGGUGGAUAUCGAUUUGUAUCACGUUAUAAAAAAUCACUCAAUCUUAAAUGUUUCCUGUUACUAUUAAAUGAAAUAAAGUUAUAUCUCAGUUUUGAAGAAAUAGAGUCUCAGAUUUAGGACCAUAGUUAGGACCACAACUGAGCAGACUGAAGGGCGAGCAGACUGUAUCUUUUAGCAAGGAUGUUUAAGGCGUUAACUCCACCUCUUUCUCUGUUGUUGGGUUGGUCCUCCAUUUUUGACACCCUCUGAACUUUGUGCUUUCUGUUUGCUUUUGUGGCCAUACCUGCAUUUGUUGCAUCCUUUUUCAUUCAGGUCACUCCCUGAUUGGCUAUUUUCCUGGUCCUCAUGACAGUCCACAAAGUGAUCGCUCGGCUGCUCUUGGGGUUCCUCCCACUCAACAGCAAAUCAGACUGUAACUGUUGUUAUUAAUAAAUGUGAUAUUUACAAUUUCAAGCCAGGGUGACUCUGAUCACUGUCUUAGCAGAUUUGAUGAAGUAAAAUUACAGGAAAAUCUGAGGAGAAUCUCUCAAGAUUAACUUAAGUACUGAGAAAAUAGGACUUGGUUGACUUUUGUUAUGAGGGAGAGAAAGGGCCCCAAAUCAGAUUAUUCUCCUCAAACCACUUGAGGGAGUAAUUAGAGAAGUUUUAUAUAUUUCAUCACAACGUGUCGUUUCAUCAUUUUUUAUUUUGAUGUAUUUUACAACCAACGACAUAAAUUUUCAUCUCAAUUUGUUUCCCUGCAGUCAAGCCAAUUUUCCUAUUUUUCUCAGUGAGAUUCUUUUCCUUUGUGGCAAUUUUGGAGCCGGUGCAUCAAUAAGUUUUCACUGUGAUGAGUAAAAGCUGUGUUGUUGUAGUGAAUGUAUCUAAAGAUUUGAGGGAGAAUGAAUUAGACUUUAUUUUGACUCAGAAAAAUGGAUGUGAUUUGUUUCGACCUUGUAGCUGCAGUCUCUAAAGUUGUUGUCAGAACUCAUUUCACACAUUAAUUCAAAUGCAUAUUUAUGCUCUGAUGUUUGCCCUUUCUGAGGAUUUCUGCAUCAUAUUUCCAUUCAUUAUACAUUCAUUGGUCGUUGAAAUAAAUACAUAUGGUGUGAUUAGUCAGAAAGUCUGCAAAGGUUAUUCUUGUAGUCAGAAAAUUCUGCUGGUUAAAUAUAAAAACGGGAAUAUAGACACCUACUGGAUCACGUUUGGGGAGAAAGAAAAACCUGUCGCUUCAUUUCUUUUGUAGCUGAGCGCAUGACUCAGAAAACUGGCACAGCAUAACCAGAACGAGCCAAGAAAUUCUCCACCAUGGCAGCACAUCAGCUUCCACAGGUGACACAGAGACUUCCUGUUAAUUUCCACAGCAGGAAUAGUUAAAUGCCAUCCAAACACGCACUAAAUCAAGCCUGGUAGAAGCGCUUCAAUCCAAUAUACAUAAUCUGUGCAGGAGAAUUAGUGUAUUUACCGACGUCUGUGUGCACAUGUGCAUUCUUGUGUGUAUUUCUCUGGUGCUGCACAGAGGGAUGCUUGACUCCCAAUAGAUGUCAUUAUUUUCCACUUGCAAGCUCUCAUCCCAGCAUGACUGCAGAGGUAUUUUUAUUAUUCCGUCUGUGUUAUUUUCUGCGUGCAUGUGUGGAUGAGUGUGCAGCGCUGUGAAAGAGGGAAGGAAGGAGGUGUGCACGUUUUUUUUGCGUGUGUUCAUGUGUGGGCGCGCGCCUCACAAAGUGAUUGAAUCUUUCAAAAAAGUUCCCGGCGCCUUCUUGUGCUUUCUGGUUUGCUGAAAAAUAUGAGAAUUUCUCAUUUCCUACUUAAAUUUCUGCCACAAAGACGCUUUGGUGCAUCAAAUGUCAGAGUGUCAAGGGAAUCAGUUGAAGUCACUGGCACAAAUACAAUCUUUCAUCUGGUUCAGGAGCUGGCUUUUGAAUUAACUCUGUGCAGGGUGACUGUCUAUCAGGCGGGCAGAGGAGAGUUGGAGGGGAUACAACCGAGAGGGGAGAGAUGAUGGGAUUAAUUUUAUCUGCAAAAGUGUCUAGAAGGUGUUAAAAUGGGCUUUUGUGAGCGCCGCACCUGGAAAAAAAAAGCAGCCGAGCGUGUGCUGUGUUUCUGUCAGAGUCUGAUCAGCACCAUGGACAGCUCCCUGCUCACUGCACCAUGACUCCAGUCCUCAUCCUUCAUUUUCAUCUCAUUUCUGAACAAUUAGUACGGGGAAGUAAAUCAAAGAGGAGCUGAAUGAAUCUGAAGCCAACUGUUCCCACGUUGAAUCAAGGCUGCAGCAGGAUAUGAUGUGUACUAAACAGGACGAGGCCUCUCAGGUGGUUACUAGAUCUAAUGUGAGAACUUUCGGUAACACUUUACUUGACGCAUAUCUCUAUAACGUAUCAUAAAUAUAUGUAUAAUGUGUAUAAUGGGGGGGCGAUCAGACGAUUUUUUUAUGAAGUAUAUAUAUAAAUACUGUAGAUGUAGGCUACUGCUUAUUGUAUAUUUCACAAACUGGUUUAUUUACCGUUGAGGUGGACCAUUCUCCUCCGUGCGUCCCUGAGCUGCCUGCUUCAGAUCCGUCACUCUGCUGUGCUGUGAGGUAGUUAGUGGAUGAAGACUGUCAUGAAGUUGCUGCACCAUCUACAGGAUAAGAACCUUUCAAAUGGCGAAUAUUUUCGAGGUGAAACUGAAUCUUAUUCUCUGGAGUAUAUUUCUGAAAAUAUCGGCAAAAAUGGGCGAGUUUUGGCCGAUCACAGAUUAGUCUCAAACGGGCUAAAAUUGACCGAAAAUUUAAUCGGCUCGCCGAUAAAUCGGUCGAGCCCUAAUCGUAACACAUUUUAAAGCAUUAUAUCAUGAUUCACAAGGUCAGGUAUUAUAAUGUGUUAUUUUGUUGUAAUAAAGCCUUAUGACAAUUAAUGAGUGUUUAUAACGAUAGUUAUACAAGUUUAUAAGCAAAUUAUAACACAUCACUAAAUUAGGUAUAAUGCAUGGAUGGAUGGAUGGAUGGAUGGAUGGAUGGAUGGAUGGAUGGAUAGAUAGAUAGAUAGAUAGAUAGUGGUCAUAUAACAUAUGCAAUCAUAUAACACAUCAAUAAUUCAGUUAUAAAAUAGGAAGAAUAUUGCAGUGGUUUUGCAUUUCUGUGUGUUACAUUUCCUAAGAGCAGUCUAUCGCCCGAGGGAGAAAACUGUGUCUUAGCCUGUUUGUACAUACUCGCAUGAUCCUCAGUCAGCCUGGGGGGAAGAGUAAAGUGAUUGUCCAGGGUGAGUCGGGUCUCUGAGGAUCCUUUUUGUGCAUCUCGGCAGGGAGUAGAAGUCCUCUAGCUUAAGAAGAGGAGAUCUGAUUAUCCAUUGUGCUGUUUUGAUUACAUGCUGCAGAUUCUAACAGUCUGUAGCACUGCAGCUGGAAAACUUCACUGUAUGUACAGUACGUCAAGGUGGUCUCUGUGGAGCAGUGGUAAAAGUUCAUCGACUGCUGUUUGGGCAGUUUGCAGAGAUUUACACAGCCUGAUUAAAAAUACGUUUGACUCAGGAAUCGAUUCUUUCUCCUUAUAACACGCCUGUUUGUAAAAUAUCAAGUUUCAUAGCUAUGUGGAUUUGAGGCGUGGCUAUGCAUGUGGAUGGACAGGUGCAAUGUAACUGUUUUCUAUGAGACUAUUGGCUUCAAAACUCCUCUUCAGAGAACUUGCAAAAACUCUAUUGUUUAUGUUAAUUCCAAUAAAUUCUAGUUUGACAACAGGAUGAGGCAUAAUGUUAAAUGAAUAAAGGAAACAAGUAGAAAUAGCCUACAGAUGAAUUUCUCAGUGAUGCCUGCUACACCAAUACAUCAAUAGACCGAUAAGCUCAGCUAAUUUGGUGAUAAACACAUUUCAUAUUUCAUUGACUCCUUAAAAUAAAAGUCCCUUAUUCUUCUGUCGUUGGAGUUAGGGCUGGGUACAGCUCCGUUUUUAAAAGUUAUUUGGGGGUUCAUGUUUUCUAUGAUUGACACCUGAUACAGCCUAUUGGCGUUCAGGGAUUGCGUAGCUCUCCCGGGGGAUACGCUGUUUGAGCCGAGCGUCAUCACAGCGACUCUCCUGCCAAAUGCACACAAUGAUACUGUGCAAUGCUGGUUUCAGGAAAUGGAGAGCUUUUUGGCUUCAAAUCUGUAUACAGGCGGGAGGUGAAACCAAGUUGUCCAUAGUAUAUACGGUCCAUGGUUCUAAAUUAGCCUGCUGGUUUUCUGAUAGAGCAAAGUUCAUCAUAGACAUAGAGAUAAGUAUUAAAAGGAUUCAAACAGUUACUAACAACUAACUUUAUUGAGUUAACAAUGACCUCCUCAUUGAGAUUACCUAUUCGUGCUAAAAUUAGAUAGUUUACUCUUUCUGCAAGGAAAAAAAAAGACUCUUUUAUUGAUUCCAGACAAACCGGCAGAAGCUUUCAUCUGUGAAUUCUGGCUUUGUUUCACACACUCUGCACUCUUACAUCACCGAGGAAAAAAAGAAAAUAGGGAUAUGAAAAGCCCCCAAAUCUCCUAAAUUGGCAUCAGCAGCUCUGACAGGAUUUAAAAUGACCAGGAUUGUCACCAGCAAUAAUCAUGCCAGAGGAGCCAGUGUGGAUAACCUUUUCAGGCGACUGGUUUGCUCCAGAGGAGCUGGACUGAGGCCUGGUCCUUGCUAUGAAUCUCCCAUGGCUUAAAGGUCAUGAGGGCUCAUGACAUACUGAAGCCUAAAUAUUGCAAUCAGUGUCACAGGGUCCCUUAGCACCUCAUUAUCUCCUCCAAAUUCUUUAAAAGCUAUUCAAAGUCAAAUUGAUGUGUAUAAUGUGUUAAUUUAUCUGUGUUGUAAUAUUUUAAAGCUCUAAUGAGGCUAACCAAAUGGGGCCACAGAUGGCCUGACAACAGUUUUACACAGCGGAGAAGCUGUAUCACAGACAUCUGAGGUCAUGGAAAUAGCUAAUGCUGAAAUUCCCAAUAACUUUAUUGACCAAAGAGACCUUUCCACUGGCAAACUGUACAUAGACACAGGUCUCUAAAGUCUUGGUCAGACAUCACAGAAGUAAACUUUUCUCAUCAUCUUGCCUCCAGCCUUCGUCCUCCGGUGUUGCUCCUCUUUCCCGUCCUCCAGCUCGCCUUUGGUUUGUUGUAGGUCAGAUAUUUUAGGCGCACUGCUCCAAUAAUCAAUAAUCAGUUCUGCUUUUUCUUUGUCCUUCUGGUCCCCAGUUGUUCUUUAUCCUCCUCUUUCAGAAGUCACUCUGCUGUAUUUUUCAGAUCUAUGUCUGCUGCACGGCUGUUUUCUCUUUUUAUUGGGCUAAUAAGCUGUUUUACAAGCGAAAUCAUCAAUGUCCAUUUUCUGUAUGUGCAAAAAUCAUUCCCACCCUCUCCCUCACUAAUGAUAAAAAAUGAAAUGUCUACUUUCCGGAUAAAGCUAAAUAAAACUAAAAUCUAUUUCUAUGUUCGGCUGCUAUUUACUGCGUCCAGAGUGUUUAUAUUGGGGCAGAAGAUGAGCUUGUUCAAUAAAAACACAUCCAUGAGUCUAUAACUUCUUUUAAUGGUCUAACACUUCACCUUUUGCAGGAUUUCACUGGGCUGCAAUUUGUAGUUGCACUCAGUUUCACAUCAGUUUUUAUAUCAGGAGCAGCAAAAAGGAGCAAUAAACCCCCGUAAAUGAGUCAGCAAAAUGGGCUUUUUGUUUUAAGUCUUGACAAAUGGUGGUUAACUCGAGCUGAAGGGAUUUUCAGGUUUUGUUCUACCAGAUAAAACAUGUCAGCAAACAUCCCUCCUGUGAAAUGGAAGCUUUUCCCCGUCUGGAGAAAAAAAAGACAAUUGUUGUAAAGUGGCAAAAUAAGACUUAAUAAAAGAUGGCAGGUAACCCAACUGUCACUCACCGAGCUGCCGAAACUAAAAGCAGAGCUGCGUUUGAGCUGAGCUGUGUGUGGGGUGGAUGUUAUUGCUUUUGUGUGGCUUGUUCGCUGCUUUGUCCACAGAGGGUACAAACAUUAAAACAAAACAAAAGGUGGCCUUGAACAAAACUCGAGACUGCUGUAACACCUAAAUCUGGAAAACCUCAUCUGCAUUUUGUCAAAGAAUCAAGGUGGUUUCUAACUUUUGUGCUGAUCUAUGCCAAAAAGUCUUCGCUGUAGCCUUCUAGACCUAUUUCAGGUCUAGGGGCAUACGUAUAAAGAGAGUGUGUGUGUCACCUGCCUGUAUUUGCAUAUCCAAAUGUCAAGUUCAGAUAUGCACUGGGAUGUCACGUCUCAUUAAUGCAGAAUACUUGUACAAUGUCUCAGAAACUUUGUAAACUCCUCGGUUUAAAGUUUCAGGGAAAAUAGAAACGACGUUUCACUUUUUCAAACCUUUAGCUUGUUAAAAAUCAGCCUGACAUGAAACUUUAUUUACAGAAUAGUAAGUGUAACAAAUAGGUGUAAAUUUUGAUGAACACGAAAACUCCUCUCUCACAUGAAGAAAAGGAGAUGUUAAUUAAGAGGAAAAUCAACGGGGGGAAUAACUGAUCAUGAAUAUUUCUACUCUUAUUAGUCCAUGAUAUUACACCUCACGACUUAUGAUUUUGUCAGAUGGUGAAUAUGAAAAAUGAAAAAUCUGAUGAACUUGGGGGUUAUCCUCUAUUUUAUUGCUUUUAUGAGAGUUAUGAUGGAUAUUUUAUGCUUCGUACUCAUGUACCGACCGGAAACCGGUCUAUGUUUAUGAUCUGUCUCAAGGCUCGCCUUAAAUGGGGUACACAGUACAAGAUCAUCUUGCUGAUUUUGCCCCUUUCCAACCAAAGUCAGUGAAGGCCUGAUUAUCAGAUGGUUUUAAAGGUUAUCUUUCCAGAUCACACUGCAGAAGGAUUUUGACAUUUUACAAGGGGAGUGCUAAAGCGUCAGCGGGCUCCCGUAAAAGUCGAAAAAUAACAUGAAGAAAGCAAGACAAGUGUGGUGUGGGACCAUUCCAAGCUGAAAAAUGAUAAAGUUUGCUGCAAACACUGCGAUGCUGUGUACAAGUCCAACACGACAACGACCCCAAUGAUGUACUACUUGAACCUUAUACAUCCAACUGAGGUUAAUGAAUCCUCCGAACCUUCUUAGUCUCAACCUGCCAUCAGAUCCUUGACAGUCCCCAUCUUGGAUGACUUGUCCCCGGCUAAAGUUGUCACCAGAAAUGUUUCUGAUUUUUUGUAUUUCAAUAAGGAAAAACACCUUUUUUUGCGUAUUUUCAAUUAAAUUGAUGAAUGAUCGUUAAUCCAUCCAUUUUCUACCACUUAUUCCUGUUCCAGGGGUCGCAGGGGGGGCUGGAGCCCAUCCCAGCAUCUUCAGGCGAAGGCAGGGGACACCCUGGACAAGUCGCAAGUUCAUCACAGGGCUGAUAUAUAGAGACGAACAAUCAUCCACGCUCACAUUCACACCUAUGGGCAAUUUGGAAGUGGCCAAUUAACCUAACCCCACUUAGGCAUGUUUUUGGGAUAUGGGAGGAAACCGGAGUAAACCCAUGCAGACACAGGGAGAACAUGCAAACUCUACACAGAAAGCCAGAUUUGAACCCGGGACCGUCUUGCUGUGAGGCGACAGUGCUAACCACUACACCACUGUGCCACCCAUGAUCAUUAAUAUAUAUAUAUAUGAUUAAUCUCAAGGCACUCUCUUAAAAUGCCUAUUCCUAAUUAAGAGUAAAUUUUCUUCGCUCCAAUCUACGCUGAAGACGAUCAAAACCACCAAACUUGGAAUAGUAAAUAUUAAACAAGUUCAGUAUCUGUCCAUUUUCCUGUCGAACAACUCAAUCAAUUCAAAAAGGAAGAAGGAAGUACAACAAAUGUAAGUACGGCAACGAUACAAACAGAGACUGAUGUCAGAAAUGUAGGAUCCAUUUGUUGAUCCACAGCAACAAGACCAGCGUUUUCACAGCAUGUUUGGGAAAAUGUUUGCGAAAAUGAUAAGGAGAGGCGUAGAAAAAAAAGAAAGCUAAGCAGUUAGCGACAAUAAGAUCACAUAGUCUGCCAUGUCUUGUUUACUCUAAAAUCACUCUAAAAUGCGUUUGGUUUGAGAGGUGGGACUCUGGUUGCUCUUUCAUUGUUAAACCUAAGGGAUGUGAAAUCUGAGCUGCUGCAUUGUCAGUGAUAUUUGAUAAGGAAGCAUGUCUGUUAGUAAAAAACAUGUCUAUGAAGGCUGGUUUAGAGUAUCCUCUUCUGUCACUCCUCCAGUUUCCCUCCUUUAUCCUCCCUCCUUUCUCUACACGUUCACCAAGGACAGACUGGCCUAGCUCAGGGCUUUAGGAUCCAGAGAUGGUCAAUAGAAGUAGAUGUGUAAGAAAUCCGAUAACCUCAUCGUAUAUAAUCAGCCCUUUAAAAACAGAGCUGGAGUUCAUGAAGUUUGUGCACCUCUCUUGGCCUUGAUGAGACAGGGCGCGUGUGAGGUGAACAAGUAUUUGUGUGCUUAUGACUCAGACUUGGACUCAAACUGUGACUGCAUUCAGACGGUGAAGAAAAUAGAGCGGUGAACUCAGACUUAGUAAUACAAACUUGUAGCUUUUCUGAAAAAAGACCCUCAUAAUUUAGGAGAUCCUGCCGGGAUCCUGAAAGAGGUGCCCCAAAUUGUGCAUUUUGCUUUCAGCAAUUUUUCAGCAUCUUUACACUAUUUUUUAAUCCAAUACUUAAACCAUCAAAUUCUGUUUUUAUCAACAUUUCUCACAAAGUCCCAACUCUUAUGAAACUAGAGUUGUACAUAACUGUGAUGGCCUUUUAGCCUUUGCACUUACUCUCAACUCCAGACCUCAAAACUGUGUCUAAUUUUAUGUUGAGUAACUCUCUGCAGUAGAGAUAGAAGAAGAGAGAAAGAGAGAGAGAGAGAGAGAGAGGGAACGACUGGGAGGGCAGAGAUGGAGAGAGCAGUCAGCAGAGAGACAGAUAGAAAGUGAGACAAAAGAGAGGGAGAGCAGCAGGCAGAAAGAGAUGGAUAAUGAGGACAGACAGAGCAGAAUAUUUCUCCUCUGGAAUAUUUCACACUUCACAUAAUAUUUCAUUCGUCCCGUCAGAGUCCUGGGUCUGAGAUCCUAGCCAGGGCAGACAGAUUGACAGACUAUUUUUCAUCAGCCAUGCUUUUCCACCCCGGCUCCCGCAACUGUAAACCUCUCUCUAAAUGACUGCCAUAAAUCCUCCACAAAUCCACAUGUAUUUCUGCCAUAUUCCUGGUGACAGCUGAUUAUUUCUGCUGCGGCUAAUGUGUGUGUUCACAACUAGAGUGUAUUAAUCUAAAUAACAUAAUCAAAUCGACAGAGCCAUCAGCGUUUAGUGGGAGUGGAAUGAUUCAUUGUUAUAAUGAAUGAGAGGUCAUUUAGGAAUCAGAAUAAGUUUCCUGACCUGGAAAAACUCAAUAAUUACUUUAUAGAGUCCCCAGUGAUUUAUAAAAUCAUAUUUUUAAAAGAUAUACGGCGUGUAAUUACUCGGGUCUGGCUAGAUUGACCAUUUAUGGCAGCUAGCAAAUGUUGCUACAUCAAUCAAGAAGCAGUUCACAGUGGCAGUGGCUGGUUUUAUAUUGAUACCUAUUUAAAACUUUGGGGAUUUUGUAAUGAGAUGACUGAAAACAAAAGCAGGAUGCUGAGUUUAACCUGCUGACCUACAAUCAACCUGCUGAACUGGGACUGUUGCUAGUUUACUUCAUCAGUUAGCUUGCCCGCUGUUUACCCCAACAUCGUCUCAAACUAACUUUUACUGCUUCUGUCGAAUACUUAACAUUUUCACACAAAAAUCUCCAGAUGAACCAAAAGUGCCUUUUAAACUCUUUCACAUUGCUAAAGCUAAAGUAGCCCCCAAUUACCACUGCAUCCGGAGCGGCAAUUUUCACUGUCCGCCAAUUCCUACAGGGUGCAUUUGUGUGGCGAAUUUUGUGAUGGAUUUUGGACGUCAAGAAUCGUGAAAACUCCAAAAAAUUAGAGGAUUCCGUCCUUUCAGCGGAGGAAAUCCACUUCUAGACUUCUUGAAUCAGCAUCUCCUCAUUCAUGGUGUAAGUCAGGUCCGCCGCGCCUGCGGCACGUCUCCAGCAAGGCACAAAAAUAGAGCCCAAUGACUCUAAUUAACUACAUGUAAGGUUAAAAGAGGUUUUAAGUCGCUUAAAUGAAUGUCAUGGAGAUGUUAAAUCACAGGUUAUUGCUUUUAGUAAUCAUGGUGUCAAUCAGGAUUAUGGUGAUUUUUGCCAUUAUCGAGCAGCCCUACAUUAUUGAGCUGUUUGAAGCAGACACUCAUCUUUUGACACCUUUAACAUUUGGACAUUUACACCUUCACUGUUUUGUUUCAUGGUUUUGGAAACACUAUGACAACAUCAUGCUGAACAUCUUAAAUAACCACCACAGUAGAUAUGUCACAUGUAAGUACUGCCACCUAAAGGAAUAGUGAAAAGAGAAGGGGAACAUGUGUCCCAGCCUCUGAAAUCCAUCCCUAAAAUUGGUUAUAGCAAAGUAAGAUGAUUAUAAUGAUGUGCUGCCUGUCUUAAAUGACCCUGUGACCUUUCUUCUACUCUCCAGGCCAUAAUAUCCCCAGAGUCUUCAUUAUACUGUGCUGGAAGAGCAGAAUUAAUAAUCUCGUUUUCUAAGCGCAUUGCUGCAUUUCAUCCUGCAGCUCCAAUCUCCUGCAGAGGGGAGUUGAGCACACUCAAAAACUCUCGGCUCUAUUUAAUCAUCAGUCUUUGCUAAACUAUUUGUGAUACCCUCGUAUAAUCAGUGUAAACACAUGACAUCAUGGUAGGGAUGAUUGGUCAUGUGAACCUUGCACCAGUGAUGCUGCCCCGGCUAAUGUUUCUCCAAAUUAAGACUCUUAUUUUCCUCAGACCGAUAAUCUUUAAACCCUUUCAGCAGGGCGUAACUCUUCUUCUCAAUGAAAAAGAUGAUCCCUCCUCUAACAGAUAUUUUCUCUGCUUUUUCACUGAAGAGGAUAAACAGCUAGAGAGUGAUUUUCCAUCUGUCUUUUACUCCUUCUACCAUCUGCCUUUGUGGGUAACUCUCAGGCAUUUAUUUUGUCUGUGCUGGAAGAACAUUAAUCUCUUCCUGGUUUGUGUCAAAACACAUCUCUCGUCAAAUUUGACCCAGCAUGUGAUGGAGGCUGCCAAUCGUCCUCUACAUGCUCUCGCUCAUUUAUGGUUAAUAUCCUCAAAACAGCCGGCCAGAUACAAACCGACUGCAGCUAAAUGUUGGUGCACUCGUCUCUCUUCUGGCUUCAGAGGACCAAAUGUUAGCCAGCCCUGGCUCCUGUUCCUGCCAGAUUUGGCUAAGAUGUUGGGGUGCAGAGUUUGGCGGGAAAACAGCUCCAGUUAGCAGCACUCAAGCUGGUGUCAACACCUGGAAGAGGACCAAUAAAACCUGGGACGAUUUGGGGAUGUAAUUCCUCCCCAGUCUGGCACAUAAGCAAAUUUUGGCCUCCUGAGCUUAAGGCAGAAAAAAGCUUAAUGUGUUAGAAUAGAUUCACGGAUAAUGUUCAAUGUUCUUCAGACCAAAAGAGAUAAAUUCUAAUUUUUCAUUUUGUGGCAGCAGCUUUUGUUUUUAUUAACAGUGAGGGAAAAAAUGGUUGAUUUUCCCUCUACAUUUAUGAACAACUUGUUUUCAAUCACUAAAUUAAAUUUGAGUUAAUGAACAGCCAGUUACUCACCGUUUUAAACAACAAAAGUCAUAACCUUGAACAUUAAACACAAAUUAGUUUUCCAUUAACGACUUCCUCGUAUCUGCCAUCCAAGCCCUUACACUCAACUCAGCAGAAGUCAGCAAGGUUAAUCUGCGUUAUUGAAAAGACACCGAGGCAAUCAUGCAUUCAACAACUUAUGUAUGGAUUUAAGUAUGAAACAUAAUCAGGUGUACAUUAUUUUCAAAAAGAACCACUUGAUUGACACCCUUGAGAUGUUUUCAUGGGGUCCCAUCAACUAUUUUGAUAUGAGACUAGUCUGUGACUAUUGAAACGAUUAUUUGACUAAUCAGAAAAUAUCUUGCCAAGGCUAGUCUAAAUGUUCAUCCAACAUUCCAACGUGCCUUCUCCUGAAAUGUUCGUGCAUCACCGAUGUACUGCCAUGAUGCGCAAGGUCUGCUUUGCAAACCAUGCAUGUUUUUUCUUCUGCCUUAUCUAGGCAACAGUGCUCCCAAACUUUUUUAAGCGCGUGCUCGUAGCUGCUGUCUAGGACGCCAGCACCGCCACGUUUGAAUACCGUACCGCUCAUUGGUAGGGUAUUCAAACAUGGCAUUCAAACAUCCAUUCAGCUCUAGGCAGAGAUCGUAAUGAAGUAAGAUGCCUCACUCCACUGGAAAAAAUACGUCUGGUGACAAUAGACAAUGGAAUUCAUUGUCGACGUUUUUCAACUAAUAUCGACUAAUCGUUGCAGCCCUAGUCCCAACAGAAACCUCUCUCCCAACAUGACAACAAAAGUUUGGCUAUGUCAAGAAAACCAAAAGAAGAUUUAUUCAAAUCUUUGAACAAUAGACUGACAACAUAAAACCUCAUUCAUAGAAAAGACAACAGGACCAAAAGACGGCUAAAGUUUCAGGAAAUGUUGAAUAAAAGGGGUGUGGCUGGUGUAUGAGUAAUGGCAAUCUCAAAGUAAGAAUACAGAGCAUUUUAAAACACACUGAAUAAUGACAUGGAUCCAAAGUGAACUCGUACAUUUUCAAAACAACAGGAGCGUUAAACCUAAAAGAUUAUUUUGCCUCUGCAGUCAGCAACCAUCUAUAAAAUGUUGCUCUGCAGUAGGGCUGUAAAGUCCUUGUUGAAUGGUCAACUUAAUUGGUCAAUACGUGCUGAGUUGACCAAAAUUCUGAUUGGUCGAAUCGAUUUCUUUCUGCGUCAAUUUACAGUCUAUGGUUAAUUUCAUUGGGAGGAACACGCCAAGUGCUAAUGGGGGUGUUUUCAGAGCACCUACAUUUCACAGGUAACAGCUUGUCUCAGAACACCCCCUUGUUUUCACCAUUUUAGACUCGCCCAACCCACUGGAGUCUGGCUGGAGACAGGAAGAUCGAAGAGCGUCCACGUCAAUCAAUGUCCGGUGGUUUGCUGAAUAUUUAUACUUAUUUUGCGCAUUUUAACCUGCCUUUGUGUUUAAUUGCCUUCUUGUGCUGAUAUCAAGAUAUUAUCGCCCCGCCAAGCCGCAUUUCGCCAAGCCGCAUUCCGCCUAGCCACGUUCCCCCAAUUGGUCGAUUUUUGGUCAAAAACUUUAGGGUUUUAGUCAACCAAGAAUCUCUUUGGUUGAUUACAGCCCUACUCUGUAGAAAACAGGAUGUAAAUGAAGCUCAACAUCUUGUUUGCAGACAUUUAACUUCUUUACAGCUCCUCCUUUUCCUCAAGGUGACAGAAAUGUCAGACAUCAUCUGAACUGAACAGCCAACUCUGCAGUCCGUCCUUGCGCUCACGAUUUUGUCAGGAGGGACUGACUCGGCAGAUAAACCCGCCAGACUUCGUGACAUGGAUAUUUAACCCAGGAGCCACCUUCUCAGUGGCAUCCAUGUUUCUGUCUCUCUCUGUUAAAGAUAACCAUGACUCUGCGGCAGCUAAUUUCACUGUCACAUUACAUGACAGUGUCAGUGUAGCAAAGCGCUGUAGAACAAAACUGAACAACAGGGGAACCUCUCUCCAACAAUCUGAGUGUCUCCAGCCAGACCCUUUGGCUGAGCUGGUUAGUAUGGUGAUUCUUAGCUGGAGGUUAAAUGAGGAGAAGACUUUCCUUGUGGGAUGGGACCAGGCGUGUGCUCUGGCUUCUUACCACGUGAAAUAUUAACAAGGCCGGGACUGAGGAGGAACAGCAGCUGCACGGCCGUGGCCUCUGCACAACGUGAAGACACAAAGACAGAAUAAAAAGAGACUUUGAGGAUAAAGAAAAAAAAGGAGAGAAGCUGCAGAGCAAACGGUGCUUUGUACAACUUCAUGGCUGCAAGAAAAAAUGGUUGAAAUUCAGAGAAAGAAAAUCUGUGAACUGUUUCUUGGUGACUCAUGACUGAACCCAGUCAUCCGACACCUUUGAUGAAGUGUUAAACAGGUAAUUAAUCAGUAAUUUUAAACUGAUUUUAAUUUAAAGUAACCUUCUGAGCUGUUUGCUGCAUGUGAGUCAGACUAAGCUCAGUGCGAUGUGAUGCAACAAUCCUGCAACGGAGACUCACAGAGGGUAGCGCGCAGAGUACGUCGCUUAAGUAUGCAUCUCUUGUAUUUUUAAUAAUCCUCCGAAAUUAACUGUGAGCUGUGUAAGUCCUACGUCUGGGCCUAAGUAAACCAGAAGCGGGCGUAGACUCAGCUCUGGUGUUGCAGAGUUUUCUGCCUCUUUGAGGAGUAACAGUAAUUCUCAUAUCAGCAAAUUGUGUGCUGUUUUUACCACUUCAAGCAGAGAGCUGAAUCCAGAUUUGUAGUACAACAAGUACACUUGACAUUUGUUUACUAGAGAACGCCAAACAGAGAGGAAAAAAAACAGAGAUAAGGUAGCAGAGGAGAGAAGAGGAUAUGAAAUGUAACAAAGGAUGGAAAUUGGAUUUCAAUCUGCCAUAUUUCAAGUUCAGCCUUGUGGUAUAUGCCAGCUCCUUUUUUCUUUUUCCUACUUUGUUUUUAAUCUUGACUUUUCACGAGCAGAGCUGGAACAAAGCAUCUCGCCGCUUAAAUGUCUAAUUUACCCUCAGACAUGUACAGGGAGCCGACUCAAGAGCAGGAGUGCGCUUCGUAAACGAGGAGGCAGGGGCCAAAUGAGGCUGGCUGAUUGCUAUUCUGAACCGAGGCGUUGUGCAGAAAGGAAGACGAGACUGGGAAGGGAAAGCCGCACACUGACAAAAGAGGUAGACGUGAAGUGUCUGUGUGUGUCUGUGUGUGUGUUAGCAGGUAAAAAGGUGUAAAAAGGAGAUGUAGGCCACAAUUACUGCAGAGAUUCAUUCUCAUGCUCAUAUGUAGUAUUUCACUCUCUCUCCCGUCACGCACAAAGAUACUGUCAGCGAGCUGUCCCGUCUUUUCAAAGAUGAUUUUAAAAGAGAUUAAAAGAGAGAACCAGAUUUCUCCACACUCCCCUGUUGCUAUGGUGACGCCAAAUUGAGUCACUCCUUCAUUCUCUCCCUUUCUUAUGGUCAAAUCAUCAAAUCAACAUGUAGGUGCAGUCCUGAACAAGGAGGAAGACUAACUGCAGGGCGUAGGGUGUGUGUGUGUGUGUGUGAGUGUGUAUGUGUGUGUGCACGUGUGUGUGAGAUAGAGACACUCUUGUUAUCCUUUCUCACUAUGCCGCCUGGCGCUCCUUGUUGUAGUGACAAUGAGGGGGGUGUGGAUGAAUCAGACUGGUGUGAUCUCAUGUGAGGGGCUUCCUCACACCACUGCUGCCAGGAUCUGACAACCGUGUAUCUGCAGAAUUCCUGUUUUUCUGGGUGACAAUGCCAACAGAUUUCUGAAACGUGAAGUUAACAAUCAUGUCGUGUAUCUUUUUUUCCCUGACCAUUACUUCUCAAGUUUGUUUGCCCUGAAGGAGUGCACUGCCAUUUUUGAGGGAUUUGAGUCAAUCAAGGGAACACAUAUAAGUAAGAUAAGGAUAUGUCAAGGUCACCGUCAGCAAGCAUGUUUCAUCCAGCCCCCCUGCUGGAUGGAAUUCCCCAGGGUUUGGUUCUUGGACCAGCCCUUUUCUUCCUGGACAUGCAUCCUCUCGGUCAUCUGUUCAGUCGAUUCCUGGAUAUGACACACACUUUCAUUUUUCUGCAAAUCCCAAUAAUCUCGAUCUUUUUAUAGCUGUCUUUCUGUUGUGCAUAAGUGAUUAUCAGACACUUUCACUACUUCUGUUCAACAGCUUAUAGGUAGAUAGGCAGUGAUCCUGUCUAAUAAUUUACUGUAUGUUUUAUUUGUUGCCAUACCAUGAUAUAUACCACUAAAGGCAGAAAGACAUUGAUUUACUUCUUUAGUAUUUAUAUCCAUCUAUAGAGCCGGCACAGUCAGUGGAGCUCUCCUUGUUCUUCCUGUAAAUCAGUGCGGCUCAUUCACACCUACAUGUUGCUCUGUUUAAUUCUCAGAUCCCCUCCUUCUGCCAGUAUGGGAGUCAUCUCUUUACUGUCUUUCCUCUCAUUUUUGUAAGUAAAGGAAAAUUUAUUUUCUGUUGCUUUUGCUGAGCAAACUUGACAGUAUUCAGGCCCUAGUGUUUUCUCUGUGUCGCCAUGUUGAUUUUGGAGAUAAAAGAAUGAAAAAAAUCAAGUUGUCGCAGCAUUGUAAGCAGUGGACGAGGAACAGUGUGUGGCGUUUACAAAACCUUGUUGAAACUUAAUAUGAAAUUCCAAGGAUAACUUAAGUUCCACUACUUUAACGAAGAAUUACAAAAACAAUUAACUGAGCUUGUUUUAGGUAUAUAUGUGGUCAACAACUGUAUGAAACCACAGCCUUCACCCGUCCGACAUUGGCAGACUGGCGGUGAAAUUUCUCAGCCCUGGUCACUUCAACAGGAAACAUGUAUUCCAGUGUGAUUACUGAUGCAAGUUCCUUGUAUGUAUUUAAUGAGUAUUUUGAUGGCUAUUAACACAAUUUGUCUCUAUUUUCAGGAUGUUACUGCUGACAAUUUUUUCCUGAGUUACCACCGACUCCCACCUCUUAAGGUGAAGGUGGUCGCCCUGGAAAGGAAAUAAAAGUGACUGAAUGGGAAUUUGUGGAGGAGGGGGCACACGCUCUGAGAGCGCACAAUAAUUGCAAUGCUGCCAUUUCCGAUGUUAAAAUGUAUUCUUUUCAAGAACCUGACAGACAAGAUAGCAGAGGAUGGUAGCUAUAUAAUCAAAAAUUAUGGGAUUUUGAAGUUUGGUAGCAGGCGUUCCAUGCUGUCCCGCCAUGACACCAUGGUAUACCACACCUCCCCUGUGGAUGUCCCAGCUAGUCUAGAAGAGGAGGGUAAACACCUGGUGUGCCUGCCAACCCAAAACCCAGGCUUCAGGACAUCAUGAUGUGCAUGUUCAGCUGACUACACAUCCUGUUGUAGGUUUCUCUCAGUGGAGAUAAAAUCAUAGAGCUCCAGUAUAUAAAUGUAUGAUGCACAUCACCACUGAAUAUCACUGUUAAUUUACUGUUUUGAUCAGCUCCCACCUAACCAUAAUGCUGCGUCACUUUUUUACAAAUCAUCAUUUACUUUUUCAAUAAACCAAAGUUAUUGCUGGUAAUUUUCAGCAUAAGCCUGUAUGGAGAAAAACAAGCAUGAGAGUCAGCACUUACAGUAAACACCCUAUUUGGAGAAAAGCUUGUUAUUGAUUGGCCAAAUGGAGUGAAACAGUCAUUUCAUUUUAUUUUGUUCAGUGGAAGAACACAAAAGUGGUUACAAAUUCAGAGAGCUCUCUCCUUUUAUUUUGUAUCCAUCCCAGAGCAAAAAUGGAAAUGGAAGAAGAAACCCGUAUAAAUCUGCCAUCUGUCUCAACGUUGAAAUACACAGAUCAUUGAAUUCAAGAGAUCCUAUGUGUAAUAUAAUAAAUACAAAAGCACAUACAUUCACAUACACUUAGAAAUAAGUAUAAAACACACAUAUAAGCGUCUGUCUUUAAAAUAAUUACCUCACAAUUAAGGACAAACUUAAAGUGUGAAGCAGAAGCCAACAACAGCUGACCAGCACACUGACUCCAGAGCGGGCAGCUUUAUUUUCUGAUUACUGACUGACAAGUCAAAGUUCAGUUUGGUAUUAUUGAGUGAUUUUUUUAACAUUUAUAUGAAAUGUUUAGUUAUUUUUUCAAAAUUAAAUCCCAAGCAAACAUAAAAACAGCUGAUCUGAGCCCCCUGAAGUAUAAUUUUCAUUUUGUUCACACCAGGAUAGCACUUUUAGCUCAAAAAAUAUAUAUAUAGAUAGAUAGAAAGAAUAAAUAGAUAGAUUUAAACACAGUGUUGUCUAAUUUCAUGUAACAGUUACAGCAGAUUAAAAUAAAUCUUGAAAUAAGCACUACUAUGUUACAGCAAGAGAGAACUGGUAACAAUAAUUAAAGGUGAAUUUAAUGUCGAAGUUUUGAGAUGUUUAGUCUGUACUGUGCCACUAGAUCAUUUAUAGAGAAAGUCUGAGCAGUUAAGCUUUCCACUUUGACAAUUAACAACAAAUAAGGGUGACCGUAUGUCCUCUUUUACCCGGAUCUGUCCUCUUUUUGGGGGAUUGUCCGGCCUCGUCCAGUACGUACAAGUUACAAGCGUGUAAAAAACACUCGACCUGACCCGAAAAACUCUCAGAAUUGACUCCGCCCCCCUGUAGUCGCCUCCUCUUUUUGAGGAUUCAGAAUAUGGUCACCCUAAAUAAAUAUUUGACUGUCAAAAGAUGGCAGGAGGGAAAUUUUUUCCAUUAGAAGUGCAAGAUAAGCAAAGAUAUGCUUUGUCCACAGGGGGCGCCAAAAUAGACUCAAACCAAAAGUUCCUCAUAGGAGCUUUAAGUUCAACUCUUAGUGUAUUUUAUUAACUGAAUAAGCUCACCAGCCACAAGCUCCCUGACUUUUCCUCUUCUCUUCUUGAACUGUGAAACUGAACUGUUUGUGCUUUAAAGCAGUGUUUGUUUUGUUCAUACCUUAAAAACUUUCCAGCUGAAAACUCUUGACCGUAAAAAAUAAGAUUAGACUGAACUACUUCCUGCAAACACCGAGGGCGUCCUCUGAAAGCAACACAAGCUCUGAUCCCUCCAGAAGAAUUUGUGGCUAAAUUUAAACUUCAGACGCUGCGGGGCAGGAAAGAACAAUGGGACGCAGGAAACUGAGGGGGUAGAGGAAGGUAAAGGGGGAUGAGGUGGGAAGAAGGAAGAAAAGGAGAAAGAAAAGUGUGAAAAUGGAGAUAGAGCAGUGGGAUAUUUUGACCUAUGACCCUAAGUUGAACAGAAUUUGGGUGACUGCAAACACAAAAUGUAUGUGGAUAUUUUUCAACAUCAUUCCUUUAUGCUGUAAAAUGUUAAAUGUUCAUUAAAUUCUUCCUUACAGGAACACAGAAUCAAAAGUAUCUUUCAUCAUGCUGCUGCCAUUUUUGACCCCGGUUGUUUAUCCCACCUCUGAAUCCUCCUCAGGGAUGACUCAUGGGUGAUAUUAAGUUCACAUAAAGUUGAAAGAGCCAAACAUCAAAGUUGCGUUUGACCCAAAUUUUCCCAAAUUACACCUCUCCCACUGAAAAGCGUAUUAAUUUCAUCUGGCUCUGGUAACUCUCUGAAAUCUCGUCAGAAUGCAAGACAAUACUCCCUGAAUUCAUUUACAGUCCAACGCAGAGCAAAUUUCCCAGAAGUUCUUUCCAAAUCAUUUCUGCAGUCAUGAAAGUUAAUUCUUGAAACCAAGGCCGAGCUCGCCUCUGUGUGUGAAAAGGCACAAAGCUCCCUGCAGACCUCCCUAAAACGGUUCAGUGUUUUUUCAGAGGAAUGGUUUGUGUCCCAUUAUUGUCCAAAACCUACUUCUGUGGCUUUCCCUACUUUGACAAGAAUAUGCUGCGCUUCAGGAGAAAACACUGCUGAGCUAACUGAGCAUGAAAAACUCAAGUGUUUCCAAGAACUUCCACCAUCCAUACCCUGCCCAACUCUCUGUGACUCUGCAGUCAGUCAGUGCGCUGAGGCCCUUAGCAUGAGACGGUGACAUGACGAGGUCAGAUGCGAUUGAAGUCGCACGUCCUUGAAGCCGUUCAGAAAAGCAGGAAUGCCAUAAACCUCUGUUUGUUUUCUUUUUCUACCCCCUGCUGCUGGGGUCAAGAGCCACUCUGACCACAAAUUUACGGCUCUGUUGUUGUUGAUGUUUCUGGAAUUUCCCUCGUUUUUUUUUUUUCCACAGAGGUUCAGACUGCAGCACAUCAUGAACAAAUAUUUCUGUUUCAAACCAGCUCCGUGUGACACAAAAUCAAAAUCAGAUGUUUCAGUAACAGUUUAAUUCAAGAACUUCCAUCAUACAUACCAUAAUUUGAGGGAAAUUAAAAAGUCACCAGGAUUACAAGAUAAACAGUCUUUAUCAAAUAGACUUGUGAAAGUAUUUGAACCUUUGUUUAAUCAGGAAAUUUCAGGGAGUUUUAAAAUCUCUCUUGAAAGCAAGAUUUGGCAAAGAAAGCAGCCGUACAGAAUCCCAGACACAUAACAAUCUGUCACAAAUAACACAGUCAGCAGCUCUGGAGAGUCAAAGACAUAUUGGGCUUUCAAGAAAAAUAACAACCACAUGGUCCUGUCAUCUAGGGCUGAAACCAUUACUUGAGUACCUCGAUUACAAAAAAUGAUCGAGGAAUUUUUCUCUGCCUCGAGUACUCAUUUAUAGGCUCAAAUCGUCACUGUUUCGCACAGAUUAUUUUCAAGAUGACAACAUGCACUUUACGUCACCACAGUCGAAGGAGGAGUAAGCACAGUUUUUUGGUUUUUUUUGCGGAGCAGAAAAAAUGAAUGACGAGAGGGGCUUUUCUUCUGCAGAGCUCCUGUAGCUCAUUAGCACUAUACCUUUGAGUUAUGGGCGGAGACAGCGCUGCUCUGCACACUCCUCUUCACGCUAGCUUGCAGCCUAACAUUGCCGGUGUCGUAGCAGAAGCAGGUAACAAAGGAGCGAGUCAGCUCUCGGACACUACUGUCUUUAGGGACAUGAUGAAAGUUAAUAUCAUAAUUAGCUUUCUAACGCACACGCCUGUUCCGUGUUCAUUGUUUCUAGAAAAGGAAAACAAUUGAUUGUACAUUAUUAAGUUAAAUGUCUGAUUUACUCUUGUAUAUUAGUAAUUGCACUAUAACUAAAAGAAAAAAAUGUUUUAUCCAAUUAUUCGAUGGAAUAUUCAGUAGAAUACUCAAUAACUAAAAUAUUCGAUAGCUGCAGCCCUACCGUCAUCACAUUUGCUAUAAUACACAUAGAUUUGUUAGGAAAUAUGAGUGUGUCCAAUUUUAGCUCUUAGGGAGGCUUAAUCAUGACCAAGGAGGGUCCUCAGAAAGGACAGUAAUCCUCAGCUCAGUUAGAACCACAGACUGAAUAAUAAAUGAGCGUUGCAUUGAUGACGGCACACAUUUGUUUUGUGAAAUAGAUUUUUUGAAGGCUUUUAUGUUUGCUCUCAGAAUUCUUGUCUUUUGGCUGAGUGUGUAUGUGGUUUCUUGUGCUUCUGCAGCGGGCCUCAAGUGGACACUCAGGGAACUGCAUGGGCUUCAUUUCAUAAGACUGGAGAUUGCAUUAAAAAAUGUCCCUGCACCUUUCUCCUAAUGAGGAUUGUUCAGACGGUUGCAGAUUGGUUCGUCUUAUUGGUCACUAAAUGCUUAUAACAGCAAACCCAUAAAAAUGAACCGUCAGCCAAAAGUGCAGACUAGAUUCUUGCUAACAGACUCAAGCAAUCAGACUCAUCUGCAUCUCUCAACACAUGCAGUUGUCUUUCAGGAGACCAGUGAACAAGUCUUACCCACUCCAGCUUCUGGUUCCCACAGAGACCAUUCUGCUUUGCAGCCCAAGUCCCACCACGUCGAGUCUGUUCCUGAUCCUGUCUCUGUAGAGUCCAGAUGGUAGCUCCACAAGGUAGUGAUCCUGCUUGUUUUCCACCUGUGAACACCAUGCCAGACUUGGCCAUCAGUGCUCCUAUGGUGAGUAGGGUUGUCUCUUUAAUGGAUCAAAGCUGUUUUCAUUAAACCCAUUGCCUCGUCUGUUGUCAUCUUUUAUUUCCUCCUCAUGUCAACAUCAGUGAAAGAGACGGGAACAAUCGUUGAAAGAACAGAGCAGAAAGAGGAUAUUUUGAAUAUUCACAGAAUAAAAUAUAAAAGUAAUGUGACAAGAAAAGGAAAAUUGCACAUUAAGAAAAUAUAGAUGUUACAUUUGGCUAAUUUUCACAUUUUGAGUAAAAAAUGUUUUCCUUCUUAGUCUAACAAGCGGAGAUGCUGAAGCGGAUCUCUAGAGGUGCACACAGCCCACCAUGACCUCCAAGUGACAUAAAAUCUUUGAGCUGCUCAUGUUUACCCAAGUCCCAGGAGUAUCGUAAAGUAGAGCUGCACAACUUUCCAGAGCUCAGAGACUCUGAAUUUAUUUCUUCUCCAAUUCCUUCCUCUGUGGAUGGAGGAAUAACUCUGGUUGGCGUCAUAGGAGUCAAAUUAAAAGUCUAAUGUAGAUGAACUUUGCUCACAAAACCUGAGUACAACUCACCACAGUACAUACGGAAACUGCUGAGAAAAACAAGUGUGAGGGGAGAGGAGAGCAACCUUUAAGAAAAAGAAAAAAAAGUGAUUUAAUGCGAUGAAUAAACUUCUCCAUUGUGCAAUGAAAUACCCAAGUAGUCGAAUGAUUAUUUGAAUAAUCAAUGAUUGGUUCAUGAUCAAAGUAGUCAUUAGCUGAAGCCUUUUCCUCAUGUGUGCAUUAGGGUAUUUGCAGAUCAUACUAGACAUGAGUAAAUCAUGCAAAGCACACACAGGAGUAGGUAUGAGAGCUGCCAGGGAGAACGCAGGUGAAUCACAGCGCGGCGCUGAUCCGCAUUCGUUUCUGACAAGCUGAUCAGGAGGAAGUUAUAAAAAUGUGACAACACAAUGACCAUUAUCUUAUAUGAAAAAAGAUUAGGGCCACAAGAAGAGACAAUAUUUACAGGAGGGAGAUGUUUUUAAUAUCCAUUUUGAGAUAUAGGUCAAAAUUUGAAGAUUAAAGUUGAAAAUUCAAAAAGUCAAAAUUUUGACUUUACUCUCAAAAUUUAGACUUUUUGAUCUUGAAAUUCCGACAUUAUUCACGACAAUUUUGAAAUUUUGACAAAAUUUUGACUUAAUCCAUGUCGACUUUAAUCUCAAAAUUUUGACUUUAAUCUUGACAUUUCAAUUUUUAAUUUUGAAAUUUCGAGUAUUGACAUAAUUUCAAUUUUUUAAAUCUGGAAAUUUCAACUUUAAUCUUGAAUAUUCAACUUUAAUCUCAAAAUUUCGACAUUAUUCACAACAUUUUGAUACUUUUAACCUUGAAAUUUUGACUUUAAUCUCGAAAUUUCAACCUUAUUGACAUAAUUUCGAUUUUUUUAUGUCCAAAUUUUAACUUUAAUCUCAAAAUUUUGACUUUAAUCUCCUUCCUGUGAUUUUUUUUGUCUUCAUGUGGCCCUCAUCCUCUUUCAUACAUAACAAACUACUUUUUAACAUACAGUAGAAAAAUCAAUGAGUCGUAUUGAUAACAGCCACCUUGAGCUGAUAAUUGUCAGUAUCAGCAAAAAAGUAUAUAUAUUUAAAACUGUCAAGGGUGAAGAUCAUGUUGUUUUUAUUCUUUUUUGUUGCUAACUGAGCGUCCAGUUAUCACACAUUCAUAAACUCUCAUUUUCAAAGGUUCUUUUGAUAAUAGGGUCACUUUUAUUCUUCGCUGAAGGUUAUAAGUAACAUAUUUGUGAGUCAAAGGAGCCUCAGAGGCCUCGGUUCAUUCAGAUGGACAAAGGAGGUAAAUGGAGCUCAUUUCUUAUGCAUGGGGACUUUCGUGUCGCCCCGGCCCUUUGCUUAAAGGGUUAAUGGCUUUCAGUAGUCUCGGAGCAAAGCCUGGUCAGGCGUGUUAGUGGGGUGCACAAAACCAGGCGAGGUGGCAUGACUUCAUUACGGGCAGAAAUAAAUGAGUGACAGAAGGAGGUUAAGAGAGUGAAAAGAUGGAGGGAGAAAGAGAAAAUGAAGAGAUAUGAAGGUGGCUGUGUGUGUCACAUACAGUGAGUCAUCAUCAGACAUCCUCACCAACACAAAUCUGUCUCUCCUCUCCUCCCCCAACAACCCCGGUGAUAAAUAAUUGACUCUAUCCUUUCCAGCCUGGUCCUCUGGUCUGGGGCGUUUUGCUCUCCGGACUCUCUUCACAAAGAUGAGGCGAUGAUGGUUCUUUCUCUUUUUCUCCUUGGCUCUGUUUCUUUCUCUUCGCUCGCCUGUAUCUCCCCCUCACAGAACUCUCUGCAGGAAACGAUGAAUAGUGAGCGUUUUUUUCCCUUUUUUUUUUUUUAAAGUUAUCUAUUAUUGAGCAGCAGAUAGCAGCAGCAGCAGCUAUCUCUAUCUACUCGGCUGCUAAAAUAAAUAUGACACAGCGCUGGAGAGAUUUGCACAGAUCUGAACUGAGACCUCUUGUGCUCCGAGCAUGCAGAGCUACACGUUUAGCUGCAAAGCAAAAGCCAAAUCCAGGGAAGCCAGUUGCUCAAAGCAACUUGUAAAUACGGUGUUGCUCUCUUUGUUGCUUUGCAGUAACACAACAACGGAGGAAAAUAAGCACUCAUUAUGGCGUCUCAGUUUUGGAGAAAACACCAUUAUUAAAAGAUUAAAUGGGACAGAAGAUAUUGUCUGUUAUGGUUAAAGUUUUAAAUCUGGUUGGAUGAUUUUCAUUCGCCUCAUUCAGAUUUAAAACUCUUGGAAACACAAAUCCACAACUGCCUCGCAGCCCUUUAAUACGCAGUCUUCUGAGGUGUUGGUUUGGCCCAGUGGUUCAGUUGUGCACCUCACCUUGAAGCAUGUUUUCUACUCUAUCUAGUGUCCCAAAUAAAACAAAAAAAGACUCUUCAAAACCCUCAAACUGCACUCUUGCAAAAGCCAUUUGAAAAUGAUUAGAAUUUAAUAUAAAUUUGUUAAAAAUAAAGUCACUGAACUUGCUUUAAAGAUCACCAAUUAUCCUCAUUCACCUUUUAUUUAUCAGUCAGGGGCCUGUGCAUGUUUGUCUCAUACUGGUGUCCAUGCAAAUCCUCAUUACAGCGGUUUCCAGCUGUUGCCUAAAACACUUUGUUUUGGCUGCUUAUCCACUGAUAUAAAGUUAGAUGUGUUUUGUAGGUGUUAUUUUUUACACAGUUUUGUUAUCAUGAAACAAACCUGAAAGUUACGCCAUAACAUGAGCCUUUAUUGCCAACUUAGCUCUCUAUUCAGCCACCUAAACACACUUUGAUGAGGUUGUUUUGCUCCUCUGUUUUCUCUGUUUUCUAGUAGCUUCAUCUUUACUUCCUUUCUGAAUCAGUAGAGUGGAAGGGGGUUAAAAACAGACUUUCCAGCAUUCACGGUGUGCUUGUCUUUUUGCAUUUUUCAAGUAGUAUAGCUGACGUCAGGUUGAGGCCACUUUUCAAAACAAGAAGACAGAAAACAUAACCACAGACUACACCGCCAUGUUAUGAAACUCUGCUGUGGUUUGACAUGGAUUUUCACUCUUGUAAUGUACUGAAAUACAGAUAAACAUAAUGGAUCUCCUUUAAAGUUUAAUAUAUUGGGAUUUGGGUGUGUUCACGCUCUGACGAGGACUGCAUAAUGAAUCACAAUUCUGCUGUUACUGCAAGAAAGACAACCUAGAUGUCCAAAUUCAAAGCUUUAAAUAAAACAAGAGUGUUAAAGGUGAACUAAUGAAGCUUAUCUCACAGUAUUGUCACAUGUUACCUGUUGGGUGGAGGUCUACAUGUACUGGUUGUGCCUUCAAACUGUUGGUGAAGCAGAACUAUUUACAACCAAACUGAUUAGUCCCAGGUAAUCUGUUGGUGCAGAUGAAUGCUUAUUUGUUUUAGAAGGGAUGUCUCUAAAUUAAGAUAAUUGCACUUUAAUUGUUAUGGCAAUAGUGCACAUUGUUCUUGCACUAAAGCAUCUUGUUUAGGGCUGCACUGCACUGAUUGGUACAUGUGCUCUUUGACCGCAGAGUCAGGCAGAUAUUGAUCAAAAUGUGAUCUGCUGUGAAGUCUUGAGAAAAGGUUUAAUGAGUUGUUUUCGGUGAAGGCUCUGACACUUUUUGCUCAUAUUACACGUUUAUUUUGAUAUUUCAGGCAGACUCUCCGGAGGCUGUGAGAGUCUUUUCGAAUUUCUCUUGAUCUGGACCCCACACAUCUUCUCCCUCCACUGGCUGUGUUGGACCUCAUUUCCAGCUUGUCCG
rnacentral:lncRNA from 1 species